AAAGGUUUUUUGUCAGAACUCGCCCAAAAACAUAUUUUUGACUGAAGUUUACAGCACUUUAAGUAUUCCAGUUUGUAACAUAAAUAUUUAACAUAAAAUAAAAAAUUGUGUUUUUAAUAAAUUAAUUAUAAAUAAGUCACUAAUUUAACUUCAGCGCCCUUUCGGGAUAAAGUAUCGAACUAACAAGCCCGCUCAAGGCAUCCACUCGCGCGCACAUACGUGUUAGCCAGGUAGAUAAGGAGUUAGUUACAAAAACAUCCGCAGACGAUAGCUGGCGCGCGCGUCAGAGUCCGACGUUCUUUUCUAAUACGAACAGCGCCUGGGAAACAAGACUGAAAAUUGAUUUUUAUAAAAUGUGGUUCACCGGAGGUUCCACCCUGCAGCCUGGGCGGUUAAAAUGAAUAGUCGUAACAUAUUAACAUAAAAAACCUGGAGAAAGCACUACUUUGAAGAAAAUUAAUUCCCUAAUACUGGGUCCUUGUGUCGCUAUGAAAUCCUGAUGAAUUGCACGAGAGAAUGCCAUAGCUGAUGGGAAAUGAGCCUCGGACCGCAUCCUGUGUUUGAGCUUGCUUUCCACCUCACAUCUUAACCCUGGGACCUGCUUCCUGAAGGCAUCAGCGUCAGCGUACAGGAUUCCGUAUGUGUAAUUAAAAAGUGUUUGCAAGGUUAGUUAAGCUUAAUUUGAACUUUAUCUUAACAUCAGUGGACAAUCUUCAAAGAGUGACUGUGACGUAGUGUCUCUAGAAUUAAAAGGCUUUCUCCAGCAUA
rnacentral:lncRNA from 1 species